rnacentral:rRNA from 1 species
UACGUAGGGUGCGAGCGUUGUCCGGAAUUAUUGGGCGUAAAGGGCGCGUAGGCGGUUUGUCGAGUCUGAUGUGAAAUCUCUGGGCUCAACCCAGAGUCUGCAUUAGAAACUGUCGGGCUUGAGUAUGGGAGAGGAGAGUGGAAUUUCCGGUGUAGCGGUGAAAUGCGCAGAUAUCUGGAGGAACACCGGUGGCGAAGGCGGCAUCCUGGACCGAAACUGACGCUGAGGAGCGAAAGCCAGGGGAGCAAACGGG